GCGGUUUUAAACACACAACUAAAUGUAAUUUGUAUCUUUGCGCGUGUUAACUUUAAAUUCUUUCAAUUGAACACCAUAUGUGGAAGUCGUGGCACAACUCAAACAGCAUCAAAAAAUAAUGUCUCUGCCACUGCAGGAAUUUUUGAUGACAUUAGGUCAUUAGGACUUGUGGCAAAUCAGAAGGGGCGGGACUUCAACUCUGUUGUUUCUGAGGCUCCGCCCCUUCAAGGAAGCAGAGAGACAGGUAGAGGAAGCUCUGGGUGGGAGUCGAUUCCCAAAACUGAAACUACAGACUCUUCAGUUCGUUUGACAUCUUGGGGAACAUGUUUGCUUUCCUGCCGAGCCUCAGAUAAGCUUCAGUAAGUUUCAUGUUAUCAGUAAGGAACCACCUCCACAAACAGUAACACAACAUAGUUUCCUAAUACGCUACAACAAUAAUUUGGGCUUUUCACACAUUUUUUAGGGGUUUUUUGCAGCAGACUUUGAUGAAAGGGAUCGAGCAGCAGACUUGUUCAUCCAGAAUCUUCUUAAAAUCCUCCACCAGGUCCUAAACAUUCAAUUACAACGUCAGUCUGAGAAGAAAACUGUAAAUGUUUGAAGUGAAGGAGAGCAGAAAAAGUUAUGCAACCUACGUGGGAUCCAUCAGAGCCGCCCGGUCUCACUUUAAGAUUUGUGCACCUGCAACAAACAAGACGGGUGACGUGACAGUUUAGAGUCUGAACUCAAACAUCACGUUUCUUUUAGACUAGAGGAACGUUUGUUUCUUGAACACUUGACUAAAACAGCUGCUGUAUUUCCAUUUCUCAGUCAUAUAAGAGUCAUUAACUGAAAGUAAACUAAAAACUAACAUUUAACUACAAAUCACAAAUAAUGAAAAACAUAGGUUCGAGAUUUACAUUUUUCUUCUCUGCUUCAGGUACAAAGAAAUUUGUUGUCUAAACUUUUACGGAAGCCAAAAACCGCCAUAUAGGUGACAUUUUUAAAUUUUGUUUUGAAAUCAUUGUCUUGAGUAGAAUUGUUGCAUCAUCUCAAGAUAACAAAGAUUAAAAAAAUGUUCUAGUGUCGACAGGUUAACUUAUCUCAUUAUCUCGAGAAAUGAAGCUUCGCUGUCUUAAGAUUACAGUCGUCAACUUGUGUUUUCAAGUUCACAGCGUUAAAACAAUUCAUUGUUCAACACAAACACAUAAAUUCCAAUCCUGACGACGCUGUAUUAACUCAAGAUUUUUAUACUCACGAUCCUUUCCUGUGGUUCAUUUUUUAUUCUUCACCGACACGUGGACGGUCUGCCUCGUCUCCACCGUUGUGACUUUCAGAUUUGGGUUUUGAACAGUCGUAGUAGUUUGUCUGGAUGUAGCUCGGCCAGACACCGAAUAAUCACCGACCGUUUUCUUGAUGUUGGUGGUUUUUG
rnacentral:lncRNA from 1 species